CAGCGACAAGAAGACGGCAGUGACUGCCCUCCUCCGUAUGGUCUGCUCUCUCUCUAACCUAGUAAAAAAAUUCUCCUUGGUCUGGUUCUCCCUUGAUUUCUUCCUUCUUGGAGAUUGAUGCUUACAAAUUGGAUUGUAAAAGUUCCUCCUCCGUCUCUUUAUUUAGACGUCUGCACGCUUAUGCUUUCUAAGCUCUGAGAUUGAUAGAAAUUUAAUUAGCUUGACUCUGGACAACGGGAUGCUGAAAGGAACUGCUGACGAGGGAGAUUAGAAGAAGCUGGACGGCAAUGGGAUUCUUAUCAAAGAAAAGAGAAGUAGCACAAGGCUCCUGAGGAGGAAAACACAAGGUUAUCUUCUUUGAUCCAGCCAAAGGUGGUAGCUCUGUCUCUUCUCUGCUUUAGAUUAAUCGUCCCUUCCUUUCUUUGAGCCUUACUGACUUUCGAUGAACUGGACUAGUCCCUCUUUAAUCAAUUAAUUUCUCAUGGAAAGAAGAUAAAGUGAAAUUUAAUUGGAGGGUGCUUAAUUAGUUGUUCCUCUUUCCUGAUGGAAGCUGCAUCAUUUUUUUGAGGAGAGAACUCCUAUUCCAGUGUAGGCUCUCUACUUGCUACAGGGGAGAAAGAAAUUAAAUAGGGUUAAUCAAGUAUGAUGACAUGUCUACCUGUGUUUAAUUAAACAUGAUGGAUUGCUUACUUGUAAUUUGUAGCUAUUAGGUUGGAUGAUGAUUUUCUCAUAUAAUUAGUAGUUGUACGUUGGUAGUUUUUUACUGCGUAUUUGACAACAGGAGAAAAUUAAACUCCAUGUAUAUGUAUCAAAAGAUACAGAAACAUUAAUGCUCCACAAUUUAUAAGAAAUAUGCAUGUGACUGCCUGCAUGCUUGAUGCUUCUUUUUGAGACCGGCAAUGCUUGAUGCUUCUUUUUGAGACCGGCAAAAGCUAGCUAGCAUAUAUAUAGUCAAAAAGGGGCAUACCAUCUAGAACAAAAGGUAGGCAUGAUGCUCUGUGUCUUUCUUUAAUUGGUACUAAUUAAUUCUGAAGCUGCAGAGGUGUCAUUCUUUUGUUUUGGUUGCCUGAUGCUUCCUUUCUGUCCUCAUUAGAUAUCCAAGCUGCUGAGGUGACACAUACUAUACUGUUGGAGAAAUUGUUGUGAAGCUUAGCUUGUAUGAGAGUCACAGUGAAGCUGUGGUGUCCUUUUUAAGCUAACAAGGAUAAAAAGUAAGUUACCCUUGUACAUUUGCAAGUAAUUUGUAGAAGGCUGCAUGCAACUUGCGCAGUUUGUAUCUGUGGACAAAACUGACAUUUCAUUGGAAAAUGUAGCAUGGCUGAUGUGGUUGUGCAUGACUCACUUCAUACCAUGAUAUGACAUUAGUUCAUCGAAAAAUAGAAGAGACCUGGACUCUGUCUCAGUAUUUAGUUUCUUCUCGUAUGUUGCUUGUGGCCAUCUUUUUUUUUUUUUUAUUAGCACCCCAAUUUUUUCCCACUGAGAAACAUUGUUUUGACAUUUCUAGUUUGAGGAUAUUCCCCGCUUCAUUCUUUUGGAAGGAAUGAAGCAUGAAUUUUAUUUAUCCAAGUACAGAAAAUGCCAGUACAAUUUAGUGAUUAUCAUUUAGUUGCCUUUCAGAGCCAAUGAGUUCUCUUAUCUUUAUCUAAAAUAUAAUGGAGCACCAAAUUUAUGAAGGCUAAUUGGCUAAUUAAUCAAAAGAAAAGAAGAAAGUGAAAUAAUAUUUUGUUUGUAAAAUAUUACAGCAUGCAUCUUUAUGAUUUUGUUUUUUAUCAACAUGUGUUCCAUGGCUUUAUGGCAGAUUUGAAAGUGAUAUGCUUGCCUUUAGGGUGUUACUAUGGGGCGGAGGAAAGGAGAGGAGAGAGCAAGGUGCCGUUUGCAUGCGAUGCAAAACUUACAUGUAUGAAUAGUUUCACAUCUCAAUACUUAGAUACUCCCUCCGUCCCAUAAUGUAAGACGCUUUUUGACACUACACUAGUAUGAAGUAGUUCGCAAGCAAAGAUGAGUUGAUUCCAUAUUUCCAUACAAGCCCUCAAUGUGCUCUUUCCAUAUUUCCAUACAAAAGGCAAAUUCUAUGCCAACCCUGCUGCGUGUAUAUGUGAAGAGACUAAAGAUGACCCCUCUAGUACAGGAGGGAAGAAUUCCAAAGAUGAUCCCACCGGGACAGAAGAGGUGAUUGAUAUUGGGGCCGGCGGUGAUUCUUUGGUCAGAUUGGAGGUUUGUGAGUUGGAGGUCAUCCUGAUUAGUUGAGAUAUUUUGCAGCUCAGAGGAAUUAGUUAAAGUUAUUUGCGUGCUAGUGGUGUAUGUGGUAUACUAAAAAUUCAGAGAAUUUCUGAUUUUAUUUGAAUGGAUUUUGGUGUAUGCAUGAACUGUACUUCUUAAUAUAGUGGAUCUUAUUUUGUCUUGCAAUGUGUUACUAAAUUUUCGUUGGAAACAGAGAAUUUCAGAGUCUUUUCUCUUUAUUUCC
rnacentral:lncRNA from 1 species